UACGUAGGGUGCGAGCGUUGUCCGGAAUUAUUGGGCGUAAAGAGCUCGUAGGCGGUUUGUCGCGUCUGCUGUGAAAUCCCGAGGCUCAACCUCGGGCUUGCAGUGGGUACGGGCAGACUAGAGUGCGGUAGGGGAGACUGGAAUUCCUGGUGUAGCGGUGGAAUGCGCAGAUAUCAGGAGGAACACCGAUGGCGAAGGCAGGUCUCUGGGCCGU
rnacentral:rRNA from 1 species